rnacentral:lncRNA from 1 species
UUUGGUUCUCGUUCAGUCACCACCUCCUGCCAGCGCCGUUGCUGCGGGGGAUUGUGGGAGCCUCCGCGUCCCGCUCGCUGAGAGAGAGUUGUCUGCUGGUUCUCAGCUUGAAGAAGAUUCUACAGUCCUUAUUGAUCCUUUUUCUUGGCGUUACCAUUUUUGAAGCAAAGUUAACCUAGCUUUCUAGUUUGAGCUUUCUUUUUGGCCGUCUUUUAAAACAUUUUUUUUUUGAUCUAUAAAAUAGACAAGAGAUAGUUCUACAAUGUCCAAGUCAUUCCAGCAGUCAUCUCUCGGUAGGGAUUCACAGGGUCAUGGGCGUGACCUGUCUGCAGCAGGAAUAGGCCUUCUUGCUGCUGCUACCCAGUCUUUAAGUAUGCCAGCAUCUCUUGGAAGGAUGAACCAGGGUACUGCACGCCUUGCUAGCUUAAUGAAUCUUGGAAUGAGUUCUUCAUUGAAUCAACAAGGAGCUCAUAGUGCACUGUCUUCUGCUAGUACUUCUUCCCAUAAUUUGCAGUCUAUAUUUAACAUUGGAAGUAGAGGUCCACUCCCUUUGUCUUCUCAACACCGUGGAGAUACAGACCAGGCCAGUAAUAUUUUGGCCAGCUUUGGUCUGUCUGCUAGAGACUUAGAUGAACUGAGUCGUUAUCCAGAGGACAAGAUUACUCCUGAGAACUUGCCCCAAAUUCUUCUACAGCUUAAAAGGAGGA